rnacentral:tRNA from 1 species
GGGGAGUUAGCUCAGUGGUUAGGGCUUCGGGCUUGUGACCGCGCGGUCCCGGGUUCGAACCUCUCCCAUAUUUAUUA